UACGAAGGGGGACUAGCGUUGUUCGGAAUCACUGGGCGUAAAGCGCACGUAGGCGGAUUUGUAAGUCAGGGGUGAAAUCCCGGGGCUCAACCUCGGAACUGCCUUUGAUACUGCAAAUCUCGAGUCCGGAAGAGGUGAGUGGAAUUCCUAGUGUAGAGGUGAAAUUCGUAGAUAUUAGGAAGAACACCAGUGGCGAAGGCGGCUCACUGGUCCGGUACUGACGCUGAGGUGCGAAAGCGUGGGGAGCAAACAGG
rnacentral:rRNA from 1 species